rnacentral:rRNA from 1 species
AUGAAGCCGGCCUGUGAGGGAUCCGGUGGAGAGAUCACUAGUGAGAAUGAUGACAUGAGUAGCGACAAACAGGGUGAGAGACCCUGUCGCCGAAAGUCCAAGGGUUCCUGCUUAAAGCUAAUCUGAGCAGGGUAAGCCGACCCCUAAGGCGAGGCCGAAAGGCGUAGUCGAUGGGAACCAGGUUAAUAUUCCUGGGCCAGGUGGUAGUGACGGAUCUCGAGGGUAGUUCAUCCUUAUCGGAUUGAAUGGGCUGCUUAGAGGUUCCAGGAAAUAGCUCCACCAUGAGAUCGUACCCUAAACCGACACAGGUGGACUGGUAGAGAAUACCAAGGCGCUUGAAAGAACUCGGGUGAAGG